UCAUUCCUUUUGUUCCCUUCCAGUCGCCCUCGCCACACCUCCCAUUACUACAUGAGGGCGCUUCCUGAUCAUCUCCACGCUCCCGUCAUGCUGCUUGUCAAUAUGCUAUUAACCUACCCACCUUUCACUUCCCAUGAGGGUUAGGGGGCGACCGAGUUCCUGCUGCUCCGUGUGAGAGAGAGUCAGCUCCCAGCUCUGUGUUUCUUUACACGCUGCUGAUUGAAACACUGAUCCUUCACGCAGGAGAAGAAAGACGCAUCCUCAGGCCUCUAAAUCCUGGAAACGUGUUCGUGUGAUAAUAAAACCACACAGCGGACACACAAAGACUCCAGUUAGUCUGGGCACUCCGAUCAUCAGACGUGUGACUGACAGGGACUGAGAGGGAGGACAACACACACACAGACGGUAUAAUGCACACCGGCAGGAUCAGCUUUCAUAGAUGGAUAUAACCUGAGGAGUUGGGAAGCAAGCUGCAACAUGGAGAAGAUCUAACCUGAGAAAUUAAA